CGACCUACCUCGAUGUGGGGCAUAGCCGGCCUAACGGCCGGGUAAUUCCGCAUGUGAUCUCGGAGGGGCAUAUCUCUGAGAUGAAACCAGUAAUGGGCAUUGAGAGGGGCUUGCGGCCUAUCAGCUAGUUGGUGAGGGUAACGGCCCACCAAGGCAACGACGGGUAGCUGGUCUGAGAGGAUGGCCAGCCACAUUGGGACUGAGAUACGGCCCAG
rnacentral:rRNA from 1 species